GGAGAGAUGGCUGAGUGGACUAAAGUGGCGGAUUGCUAAUCCGUUGUACAAUUUUUUUUUGUGCCGAAGGUUCGAAUCCCUCUCUUUCCG
rnacentral:tRNA from 1 species